UACGUAGGUGGCAAGCGUUGUCCGGAUUUACUGGGCGUAAAGAGCGCGCAGGCGGUCGUUCAAGUCGCGUGUGAAAGCCCCCGGCUCAACUGGGGAGGGUCACGCGAUACUGAUCGACUCGAAGGCAGGAGGGGGAAGUGGAAUUCCCGGUGUAGUGGUGAAAUGCGUAGAUAUCGGGAGGAACACCAGUGGCGAAGGCGACUUCCUGGCCUGUUCUUGACGCUGAGGCGCGAAAGCUAGGGGAGCAAACAGG
rnacentral:rRNA from 1 species